ensembl:lncRNA LINC01446 long intergenic non-protein coding RNA 1446
GGCCGACAGAAGAUGGCGGAUGAGCAGCGUGCAGGGUUUUCUCCCUGUGGCUCACUCUCUCUUACUGUGCUGGGCGGUUGCUUCCUCUCCUGCUGCCCUUGGGAGUCAGACUCCAGGUUCUUCAGCCUGUGGCCCCUGGGGCUCUCGGGCCUUGGAGGACUGACUAGGAGCACACGGUGGGCCUCUCUGGUUUGGGGGCCUGGGACGUGGCGGAGCCCUGCAGCUUCUGUGCGGCCUGUUCUGGGCGUCGCGUUGAAACGCCAGCCAGUUCCCCAAUCCCCCUGGGAUUACAGGAGUGUUGAAGAAAUGUUGUGACACAUCAGAACACCGCGAAAUACAUGGACACUUUCAAAUCAUGGAAGACUCAAGCCCACCAGGUAUUUUUGAAAAAAGUACUCUGUGAAAAACAGAAACUGCAAGCAAGACAGAUACCAGGAUUAGGGAUCACGGUGACUUCUACCAUCGCUGGAUACUCCCAAAAGGGUUCUCGAGACAGCAGCUGUGUCUGCCCUGCUUUGGCAUUCUUUCCCAGGCAUGGCGACCGUAAGUCAAAAUGUAAUCCUUAGCUGGUCAUACAAGCCCUGUCAUUACUCAUAUAUGCAGAUGAUAUUUUAAAUUCUUCCAGUUUUUUUUUAGGGAGGAGUAUUAAAACAUGAGUAAAAAUUAAUUUGUGGGCUCACUGACAAUGGGGUUUAAUUUGCAUUUUUAUCCUCAUUGAUUAGCACCAAGCCCAGAAGAACUUGUGUUCAUUAAGAACUUGUUGAUUGAGCAGCUAGAAAGGGGCUUGUCUUCCAUAAGGAGAUCUCUACUCUUGUGGGUUUUACUCUCUAGCAGAGGGACAUGAGCAACAGACAAUAAAAUAAAUAUUACAUGGUAUAUUUGAACAAUAUAAAUGCCACGAAAAUGAAAAAUAAAAGUGCAGAGCAAGGAAGAGAGAUGAGAAGGCCAACUGAGAUCUUAAAUGAAGUGGGGAUGGUGGGCCUCACAGAGAGGAGAUGACACACUUGAAGAAGGUGAAGGGGCAAGCACAGAUACUCUGGGGAAUGUGCAUUCCUGCCAGGACCAUCAGUGCUAAAGCCGUAAGUGGAGGUGUGCCUGGCACUUGCCAGGAAUAAUGAGGAAGGGGAGGUGGCAGAGGAGAGCUGAGCUGCCAGGAGAAUGGCACAGGACAUUGGAGGGCUGAUGAGGUCCAGAUGACAUGUGGCUUCACAAACCAUUGCAAGGAUAUGGCAUCUGCUCUGAGUCAAAUGGAAAUUUAUUGCAGGAUUUGAAAAAAGAGUGAUGGCUGUGUCCAGUGGCUCAUGCCUAGAAUCCCAGCACUAUGGGAGGCCGAGACAGGCAGAUCACUUGAGCCCAGGAGUUUUAGACCAGCCUGUGCAACAGGGUGAAACCUCGUUUCUACCAAAAAUACAAAAAUGCAUGGGCGUGGUGGCACAUGCAAAUAGUUCCAGCUAAUCAGGAUGCUGAGGUGGGAGGAUCACUUGAGCUCUGGCAAGUGGAGCCUGCAGUGAGCUGAGAUCACCACCACACUCCAGUCUGGGCAACAGAAUGAGAUCCUGUCUCAAUAAAAAGAAAAAAGCGUUGAUGUGGUUUGGCUCUGUGUCCCCACCCAAAUCUCACCUUGUAGCUCUCUUAAUUCCCACAUGUUGUGAGAGGGACCCAGUGGGAGAUGAUUGAAUUACGGGAGCCAGUCUUUCCCAUACCGUUGUCAUGGUAGUGAAUAAGCCUCGAGAUCUGAUGGUUUGAUAAGGAGAAACUUGUUUCGCUUGGCAUUUAUUCUCUCUUUGCCUGCUGCCAUGCAUGUAAGAUGUGAAUUUUGCUCCACCUUGACUUCUGCCAUGAUUGUGAGGCUUCCCCAGCCAUGUGGAACUGUAAUUAAACCUCUUUCUUUUGUAAAU